AUUGAACGCUGGCGGCAGGCCUAACACAUGCAAGUCGAACGGUAACAGGAAACAGCUUGCUGUUUCGCUGACGAGUGGCGGACGGGUGAGUAAUGUCUGGGAAGCUGCCUGAUGGAGGGGGAUAACUACUGGAAACGGUAGCUAAUACCGCAUAACGUCGCAAGACCAAAGAGGGGGACCUUCGGGCCUCUUGCCCUCGGAUGUGCCCAGAUGGGAUUAGCUAGUAGGUGGGGUAACGGCUCACCUAGGCGACGAUCCCUAGCUGGUCUGAGAGGAUGACCAGCGACACGGGAACUGAGACACGGUCCAGACUCCUACGGGAGGCAGCAGUGGGGAAUAUUGCACAAUGGGCGCAAGCCUGAUGCAGCCAUGCCGCGUGUAUGAAGAAGGCCUUCGGGUUGUAAAGUACUUUCAGCGGUGAGGAAGGGAGUAAAGUUAAUACCUUGACUCAUUGACGUUACCCGCAGAAGAAGCACCGGCUAACUCCGUG
rnacentral:rRNA from 1 species